rnacentral:lncRNA from 1 species
AAAACUUGGGUCGACCUAUAAACGAGGAAUAUCAUAAAUUAACAAUUUCUUGGUCAAAAACCAGGGUCGACCUAUAUACGAAGGGGGGUUAUAGACGAGUAUAUACGGUAUAUAUUAUCUUGAUAAAACUUUGACUCAAGUUCAGGCACUUUUUCAUUAUCUUCAUAGAUCUUAAGCAUGUCAAUGAUUAUAAAAGUCCUAUUAUAUCACAUGCUCUUGUGAUGUACAGUAUUUGGUUUGAGCAAAGUCCUAUGUUGGCAAGGAACUGGGAGUGAAGGGGCAUGAAACUAUAUUAGUCCAAAUCUUGAUCCUGAUUUAAAUUUGUAAUGUACAGUACUGUACUUGAUGAGAAACCUGCUAAGUAUUCAGCUUUCUGUAAAACACCUUUCAGUGAGGUAGGGCAGCACACACAUCAUAUGUAAUGACAUGCUUUGUCGGGGAGUUUAUUACAGGAAUCUAUCAGGUACCAUGUUUUCUUCCCUUCCAAAAAGCAGAUUUUAUCAGUCUAUAUUUUUGUAAACAAAUAUUCCUGGUACAGUAAAGUGUACGAUUAAUCUGAACUUGUCCUUCCUGCUGUGUAUGUGUUGAGGGGCAACUGAUAACAUCUUUGGAUCACGGGGUAACUGAUAACUCCUCAUUUAAUGAUUACGUGAUAGCUCAUAUUCUCACUGGUGGUAUACGUCUUGGCCUCAGGUGCUUAGGUCUCAGUCUCAGGUGCUUAGGUCUUGGUCAUGGGUGCUUAGGUCUUGGUCUUCAGUGCUUAGGUCUUGGUCAUGGGUGCUUAGGUCUUGGUCUUCGGUGCUUAGGUCUUGGUCUUGGUCUUGGUCUCAGACAUCUGUGUUCUUGGAUUAUUACUCAAGACCAUAAAUUUAUUUACUGUAUUAAUUUUGGGGUCUAUUGGGAGGGAGUAAUCAACUGGCUAAGUUGGGUUCUGGUAGGGAAGAUACCUUACCUCACCUCAGGUCACUAGUGUACUUAAACCACUAAUUUAGCAAAAGUAGGGAUUUCCUGUAGUCAAUUUUGUUAGGCAAGAUGUUCCCGUAACAAAUAUGACUUCAAUGUAGUUAUGGCAGCAGAAUAAAAGGCCAGGUUUCCAUUGUUGGUUAAUCUGGCACUGAUGAUCUAGUUUAAUUUUGGCUUCACUGCUCUGGUUGAAUACAUAUUUAGCCGUGAGGGAUAACAGAGGCCCCAUAGUUGCCGAACAUCUGCAUAGGUACUGAAUAUGUUAAUGUUUCUGAAGUUUAAUGAAGUAAUUAUAAAGUACCUGGAUAUGAUCAACAAGCCCUUUGUAAUACAGUGAAACCUCCAUAUAACGGACUUCUCUCUCUAUGUAGUCCAUUAGAUGGGUGUUUCACAUCUAACGGAUACCUCGAUAUUACAGACUUUGUUCUCUAUAGUAUUUUAGAUGGAGGUUUUACAUCAAACAGACCCUUGAUAUAACACUUUCUUCUCCAUAUAGUCCAUUAAAUAGAGGUUUCACUGUAGAUACAGUAUAACCCCAAUAAAUAAAUAUGAACUAAAGUACUGUAUAUAUACUGUACUGUAUUCUGUAUUUAAUUAUGUUUGCUGUAUUUGUAUCAUGAGAUUAAAAAAAAUACAAGUCAUUUGAUAGAUGCUUUAAAAAUACUAAUUUAUAUGCAUGUGCAUAACCUGAAGAUACAUCCCCCCACCCCCAAAUAAGUUCUCACCUGAAGAUUGGCUCUCAGUUUAACCCACCUGAAGUAUAACCACCCUUAGGCCACCUAGAGGGCUUAUCUUAAAGUGACAGGACCUCGGUACGUCCCACAAGUUUAACCGUCCCAUUACAGAAAAAACCCCAAAAGAAUGCAUCUCAGAACAUCAGUGUUAUUAAAUUGUUUAAGUCAGAUAUUAGCUGGCCAGAACUCGGUGUUUCUUUAAAGUUGAAUACACGUUCCCUGCAGGCUCAGCGGAACGGAUUUUGUCACUGUUUUCAUUAUUUAGAAUACUGUACCUGUACUGUAUAUAUAAACUUUCAUAAACAGUAAAAAACACAGUUUUUCAUGUCAUUACAGACUCUUUAUCUGUAUCAUGGAUAAAUUACAGCAGUACAGGGUAUAUGUACUUAAUUUUGACUACCCGUACAGUACUAAACUCAUUUGACUUUAUGAAUAGUGUAAUUGUUGCCUCAUUAAUUGUAUACUGUACAGACAGAGGGGAGAGAGGGAGAGUUACCAAGAUGUGUUGAUUGAGUGGGUUAUUUUUUAUGUUGGAGUGAUAAAUACUUGUUUGUAGCAAAUGUGAAUAAAAAAACAAACAUGUGAAAGAAUUUUCAGAAAACCCAUGUGAAAUAUUGUGAAUACUGUACCUGGAGGAACUCUGUGAUGUUUGGUAAGGUCAAACUGGAUAUCAUCCUUCUCAUGUGUGUCUGGGCCAACCAAAACUUGAAUCCAUGACAUAAUAUAGCUAUCCCCGCAUAUAUGAAUUUGGGUCCUGGCAAGAUUCAGAUUAUGUGUCCCCAGCAGUCAGCUAGGGUGGCCACAUCCUCCUAGCACUCUUCCUACUAUGGUGAGGUAGGAGUUAUGUUAUGAUUAUUUUUCAACUCAUAACUUUGGGUAAAUAAACAUAACGUUUUUCAUAUUUAUUUUUAUUCAGUUACAUGCAUACACAAUCCUACAUACAGAAUGUGUAAAAAAAAGUACGUAGAAGAAAUAACAAUCAUAAGGUCAAAACAUAAAGGGAAUAAACAUUUCUUUUUGUGUGAGAGCGGGAGAGGGAGUGCUGCAGUCUGCAGAGGUGGCCGGGCUGAUUGCUAUGGCGAUGCUUGAGUGUGUUCUCACAUGAAGCAGCCAGUGUCUAUGCAAAUGGCACUGCUGGUGGGUGUUGGGGUAUUUUUGUCACUGAGGAACCAAACCUUAUUUUCCCAUAUGUUUUUGUGUUCUAGAUACAAAAAUUCUCCUAAUAAAUAUUUUUUUUUUAUUUGAAACCUAACCCAUUUGUAUCUUGAGGGAUACCUGUACAGUACAGUACUGUAGUGAGAAAUACAGGGUAUGUGUGUUACCACUGCACCACCAUUGUUAUUUUUGCUAAGGAAAAUAUAGGUUCAGUAUCCAAAAGCUAAUGGUUUGAUUCCUUCAAUACAGUACUGUACCUGUAUACUGUAUACCAUUUAUAUUGACUGUCAUCUCUCUAACAUUUUCAUUGUGUUAUUUCUUGCAUUUUCAUUAAUUUUAAUGCUUCCAGUCUCUUGAAACACGCUUUACACUUAACAUUAAACAUACUGUGUUCUCAUAUGAUCAGCCUGUUAUGGCUUAUAGUUCAUCAUGAUUAAUAUACCAUCUUCAUUAAUAGAGAAAAAAUGCAAUAUGUAAUUUGUAAUAUGACUUGAAAAUAAAAGGAUAAGCUGUAUCGGAAGGUCAUCAUUUAGAAUGCAUUCGUGUGUGAGCUUUUAGCAGACCAGCUUACAACAGGGUCACUAUAACACACUGUAUAGUAUUUAAUAUGAAGAAACCUUCCCAACAACAUUAUUUAUUACCUUUAAGUGAUACAUGUUGGCGCACUUUGGCUACUUGUACACUUAGACAACUGAUUAAUGAAUAAACCAGGGUAUAUGUAGAUAGAUAAUACUUUACACUACAGGAUUACUUAUUAUGUGAUGAUAAAUACACUACAGGAUUACUUAUUAUGUGAUGAUAAAUACACUACAGUAGUAGUUAUUAAGUGGUGAUAAAUACACUACAGUACUAAUUUUAAAGUGUUGAAGACAGAUGUUGUGGUAGGCAGCUUAGCCUAUUAGCUGUUUGUGCCAAACAGUUUGGCCUUUGUAAACAAAUGGCUCAUGAUGUUCAGUGUGGGAUUCUUUUUUCAGGAAAGUUGAUUCUUUUUUUAUAAUAUUUUAUCUACCUGGCACCAAAUGAUCCUAAAUUAUAUGAGAAUUGUGGUGAAAUUUCAUAAAGACAUGUUAAAGGUAUCUUGGGGGAGAGAGUCACCCAUCCACCCGCCUUCUCCCCUCUGCCAGCUGCUCCUAGAUGUACACUCGUCUUCCACAUACAAUAUACUCCUACACUUAUUUGUUCUUAUUUUUAUCUUUAUAGUACUGUACAGUAUACAGUUUUCUCUUUAAUUCACAAGACAAAUUCUGUGGUUACUUACAUAUUACACUUAUAGUAUAUAACAAUCAUCUCGGUGAAAACAGUUGUUGACAACCAGAUUUAUAUGUCUGAUUUUCAACCCAGUGUUUUUGGACUCUCGCAUUUUACGGACUGGGGUCUGCCCCAAUUAGUCUGAUUUAUCGAGGUUCUACUGUACGUACAGUAUUGAGGUUUUUAGUCAUUAAUUUAAUUAUUUGAAAAUUCCGUUUACUCCGUAUGCAGACAAUAUCUUUAACCCCUUUAGAUAAGAAAUGUGAUAUUUAUAUAAAUUUAUUACUUUGACAUUCAUAGAUGUAUGUUAUCAUGUUGUACAAGCAUACAUGUAAGUGUAAUUUAGUGAAAUACAGUCUUUGUAAUGGGCAGGGGCCUGACUAAGUGUCAUUUGAGAGCAAGCUGAAAGAAUGAUAUGUGAAACAUUUCCUGUAUAGUACAGAAAAUUUGCCUGACAAAACUAGAGAAAAAAGACCUCUAUGAUUAGAUUAUAAUGCAUUCAUCAGUGUUGUUUUCAUACAAUCAUAAGUUCUUUAUAAGUACUGUAAUGUCAAUACCAAAGACCAUCAGCCCAAUGAUAGAUCUGAUGUUAUUUAGUCUAAUGUGAUGUUUUCUAAUCAUUCAAAAUUUUGGUUAGGAAAUAGUAUGAGGUGUCCUUGAACAGCUAGUCAGUGACCAUUAUAGAUAGAAUUUCUGGCAGUUCCAUCAGUUGUAACUAAUAAGAAAGAUUAAAACCCUGUUGUGAGGUUUAAAUAUUGUAUGCAUAUAAAGAUGGUUGAAAAUUUGAUGCCGUCCAAACCCCGUGUUGGAUGGUGCAAUCACAGUACAGUACAGUACAGAUGUUAACUCUGUGUAAACAAUAACAUGUAAGGCGAGGGACUACUUUAUUUAGUAUUGCAGUAUAUUAAUGGAUUGUGAAAACAUACCAGUAAUAUCUCUGUUAGCCAGAAUCCCUUUUAACUGGAACUCUCCAUUGCCUGGAAUUGAAAUUUGCACAGAAUUUUUCUGGAAAAUUUAUCUCAAUUCUGGGUCUGUGAACCAUUUUCCAGGGUUGAAAAUGAGGCAUAUUUUAAGAAAAUUCCAGAAACUCUUUCCAAUUUUUUUUUCUCCGGGUUUGGGAGCAAAUUUUGAGAAUGAAAUACUGUAAUGUGCAAUUUCUGGAAAGCUUUUCCCAGUCGCCGGAAAAAUUCCGGGGAUGAGAGAUUUUUCCGGGUUUGAGAGAAUUGUCUCGUUACCUGGAAAUCUCUGAUAUCCGGAAGUGCUCUGCACCAACAGUUCCGGCUAACAGGGAUAUCACUUUUUUUUAGUACAGGCAGUCAGGUGGAAUUUUGAUGCAUUUUUGGAAGCUAAUUCGGUGAUAUAGCUAAGGGAGCUAGUUAGAUACAUGCUUACAUCUCUAGUAAUGAUGAAACUUUUAAUGGAUGGAUCUUUGAGAGUCCAAGGCCAGCAAGACAACAUAGAGCACAUUUCCCACACAUACAUAGGUUAUUGUGUAAUGCAGAUGGAGCCUGAUAACAGCUUUAUGCACACAAAAAAUAAAAUGAAAUUAUACAAAAGAUUUUGAGAUGUAUACAGUAUUGUACAUAAGAGGUGUUUCUGCUGUAUUGUGUUGUGUGAUAAAUGACUAUAAUUCACGUUGUAUGUAUGUAGUUGUUUUAUUAUCACUGAGUAAAACAUGUAUACUGUAAA